rnacentral:rRNA from 1 species
UACAAGUGAGGCUACCGAACGUUGGAAACAGCGGUUAGGAGCUUACACCCACCCGUGUUUACAUACUAUUGUUGCUUUGGCGGGCCGUGGCCUCCACUGCGGGCUCUGCUCGUGUGUGCCCGCCAGAGGACCAAACUCUGAAUGUUAGUGAUGUCUGAGUACUAUCUAAUAGUUAAAACUUUCAACAACGGAUCUCUUGGUUCUGGCAUCGAUGAAGAACGCAGCGAAAUGCGAUAAGUAAUGUGAAUUGCAGAAUUCAGUGAAUCAUCGAAUCUUUGAACGCACAUUGCGCCCUGUGGUAUUCCGCAGGGCAUGCCUGUUCGAGCGUCAUUUAACCACUCACGCCUAGCGUGGUAUUGGGGCACGCGGUCUCGCGGCCCUCAAAAUUAGUGGCGGCGCCGGUGGGCUCUAAGCGUAGUACAUACUCCCGCUAUAGAGUUCCCCCGGUGGCUCGCCAGAACCCCCAAUUUUUUACAGGUUGACCUCGGAUCAGGUAGGGAUACCCGCUGAACUUAAGCAUAUCA